rnacentral:tRNA from 2 species
GGGAAUUAGCUCAGCUGGGAGAGCACCUGCUUUGCAAGCAGGAGGUCAUCGGUUCGAUUCCGUUAUUCUCC